rnacentral:rRNA from 1 species
UCCGUCAGUUAACUGCGGAGGGACAUUA